AUAAUAUUAAAAUAUUUUAUAUUA
rnacentral:tRNA from 1 species